UACAGAGGUCUCAAGCGUUGUUCGGAUUCAUUGGGCGUAAAGGGUGUGUAGGUGGCGCGCUAAGUCGGGUGUGAAAUUUCGGAGCUUAACUCCGAAACUGCAUUCGAUACUGGCGUGCUUGAGGACUGGAGAGGAGACUGGAAUUCAUGGUGUAGCAGUGAAAUGCGUAGAGAUCAUGAGGAAGACCAGUGGCGAAGGCGGGUCUCUGGACAGUUCCUGACACUGAGACACGAAGGCCAGGGAGCAAACGGG
rnacentral:rRNA from 1 species